UGAGCUUGGAUCCCUGGCUCAGGAUGAACGCUAGCGGCAGGCUUAACACAUGCAAGUCGAGGGGUAUAUGUCUUCGGAUAUAGAGACCGGCGCACGGGUGCGUAACGCGUAUGCAAUCUACCUUUUACAGGGGAAUAGCCCAGAGAAAUUUGGAUUAAUGCCCCAUAGUAUAAUUGAAUGGCAUCAUUUAAUUAUUAAAGUCACAACGGUAAAAGAUGAGCAUGCGUCCCAUUAGUUAGUUGGUAAGGUAACGGCUUACCAAGACAAUGAUGGGUAGGGGUCCUGAGAGGGAGAUCCCCCACACUGGUACUGAGACACGGACCAGACUCCUACGGGAGGCAGCAGUGAGGAAUAUUGGACAAUGGGCGCAAGCCUGAUCCAGCCAUGCCGCGUGCAGGAAGACGGUCCUAUGGAUUGUAAACUGCUUUUAUACAGGAAGAAACACUCCGACGUGUCGGAGCUUGACGGUACUGUAGGAAUAAGGAU
rnacentral:rRNA from 1 species